AUGUGUGAGGUUGCUUUUGGUGUUGUUUUUUUUUUCUGUUUAAGUUUUCCACCCCUGUUCCUUAGCUCUGAAGGGUUAUUUGAUGUAAGUUAUCUGAGGGUUUAUUAUAAAACAGUAAUACUUGAAAAAUCUGGAGUUCAGGUUAUAGUUUAUAUGGAGAGAAAUAGAUGUUGUUUAGAAGGCAGGCAACACCCAAUUGUUUCUUGACUGGUAAAAGAAAAUUUUAUAUUGAGUAUUUAAGUGGUUCAGAAGGAGUUUGUGGUGACUGUAUAUCUCAACUAUGUAUUUUGAAGCAAUGCUCUUGGAUCUUAUGUAAUGAAAAUGAUUAAAUAGGAAGCUAUUAAUCAUGUAUAUGCUUACAGAAAUCUGAUAUCUGGAGGCUCUGCCAAAAUCUAAAUUGUGUAGACAGCUCCUACCAAGUAUUUCUCAGUUAGUUAGUGGGGUGCUCUCAGGAAAAAAUGUGGUUUGCUGUGCUUCAUCAAUUUUUUUUAUGUUAUGCUCUGGGCUUAGUUUGUUUAUAUUAUUCUAAAAAGUCUUAGCUUUCUCAGUAUUGUGUAGCUGAACUAAGUUCUGAGAUAGCUCACUGCCUUAUUUUGAUUUCUUCUGGGGUUUCAGUGAGCACUUCUACUGUUUGUGUCAAGGAUUUUGUGUUGGACUACAAGAAGUUAUGGUGAAUUAGAGGAAGAAAUGCAGAAACUAGCAGCAGUGUUGUAUUUUUCCUACUGACCUGAGUUCAGAAGGAAAGGAAUAAUUUUCUCUUGGCUAAACUCUGUAGUUGUCUGCAGAUUCUGUAAGAAUCUGACAAACUUUCAUUCAAAGUCUAUUGGUGUAAAUAGAAAGAGCUCCAUUGACUUACAUCAGAUUUGGAUCAAGUACCUAAAACUGGUCUUACAGGAAAAAAAAAAAAAAAAAAAAAGACAAUCACUAUACAUUUUGUCAACUUACGUAAACAGCUAUAGUGAAUUUAUUUCAUACAGAAUUUAGUUACCUGAUGCUGUGGAGCCAGAGAUAAGAUUUUUUUCUUCUCUUGAUUGUUCAUCUGAAUUAUUGCAAUGGCACCAUUACAAUGGAGUUGAGUAAGGAAUUAAAUGUUAUAUGAUUUCAUAGGUUUGAUCUUCAGAGUAUUGUUAAGUGUCUGGUAAGUACCUGGAGUUUAAAACAAUCUCUGCUCUUGGGGAUGCUUCCAGAUUGUAAACGAUAGAAACUGAAAAUACAUUCUUCCUAGUAGCUCCAUGUCGCACUCUUCAAUUGAAUUCAAUAUUAUGUGCAUUCACUAGGUCAUGUUAAGAAUCUUCUAAAAGUUAAAUAUUUCUGAUUUUUAAUAUGCUUUCUUUCGUAAUGUUAGAAUAACCUUGCUUCUGCUUAAAGGGAGAGAAAUCAAAUAAUUUUUAUGGACCUGCUACAGAAUUGAAUACAAAGACCAUAUGUUCUUGUAAAAUGAGUAAGUCCCUCAAAGUCAAAAAAAAACAAACAACAACAACAAAAAAAAACAUUGACAAAAAUGAAUAGAACCUAGGGAAAAUAGCUUUCUUAUACUAUCUGUACUUUUACCUACAUAUCAAUUUAUACCAUGAGUUUUUAUUGUUACAGCACCUUUGGGUACAAUUCAAGAAAUAACUUGUAAAUUUCAGUAAAUUCCACUGAGCUACUUGGCUGGAAGAAAAAUAGAAACAACACAAAAAGCCAAAAACAAACAAACAAAGCCCACAAAAAAAACCCACCACCAGACAAAAAUAUAAAUGUAUUCAUCUCUCUUACACAAUGUAAAUUCUGCAACAUAAUUGUUGCUGAUGGUACUGUUCCAGCUACAAUAUACCUUAAUUAUUGAUGCUGUACAGUUCCAUAGAAAGCAAAUGACUUUUUCCUCUUCCUAAUCAGUAUUAAUCUGUACUUAGGAAAAGUGUUGAAAGUGCAUAAGAAAUAAACAACAUUAUGUAAUUAGGCUGAAAUACUGU
rnacentral:lncRNA from 1 species